rnacentral:rRNA from 1 species
UAGGGAAUAUUGGACAAUGGGCGCAAGCCUGAUCCAGCCAUGCCGCGUGAGUGAAGAAGGCCCUCGGGUUGUAAAGCUCUUUUGUCCGGAAAGAAAAGCAUCGGGCUAAUACCCUGGUGUUCUGACGGUACCGGAAGAAUAAGCACCGGCUAACUUCGUGCCAGCAGCCGCGGUAAUACGAAGGGUGCAAGCGUUACCCGGAAUUACUGGGCGUAAAGCGUGCGUAGGUGAUUUGUUAAGUCUGAUGUGAAAGCCCUGGGCUCAACCUGGGAAUGGCAUUGGAAACUGGCGGACUCGAGUGCGGUAGAGGGGUGUGGAAUUCCCGGUGUAGCAGUGAAAUGCGUAGAGAUCGGGAGGAACACCAGUGGCGAAGGCGACACCCUGGACCAGCACUGACACUGAGGCACGAAAGCGUGGGGAGCAAACAGGAUUAGAUACCCUGGUAGUCCACGCCCUAAACGAUGCGACUGGAUGUUGGGUGCAACUUGGCACUCAGUAUCGAAGCUAACGCGUUAAGUUCGCCGCCUGGGGAGUACGGUCGCAAGACUGAAACUCAAAUGAAUUGACGGGGUCAUAGCUGUUUCCU